GUGUGUUAGGCUUUGUGUUUCAAUAACAUGCACGUGUGUGUGCUCAGCUGUGUCUGUGGCUGUAGCCCACCAAACUCCUCUGUCCAUGGGAUUUUCCAGGCGAGAAUAUUGGAGUGUGUCCUUUCCUCCUCCAGGUGAUCUGCCCGACCCAGGGAUCAAACCUUGUUUCCUAUGACUUCUGCAUUUGCAGGCGGAUUCUUUACGACUAAGCCACCUGGGGAAGCCCACUGUAAUAAGAGAUUAUAUCAAAAUGGCUCAAGUAGAAAGGAUACUUCACUGACCCCAUCCUGUAAAGAAGCCUCUCUGUGGCGUCUUGGACAGAAGUGAAACAAUCCGGUUCUAGCCCUAGCUCAACAUACUUCAGGAGGCUCUGAAACACCAUUCUUGGCAGCAGGAACUUUGAGGAAGAAGAACUUCGAUCGUCUUGUGGCUCUGGGUCCCCUCAGCCCAGCCACAGGAGUGGGUGGGCCCCGUGGGAAAUGCACUCCACGGAUCCCUGCUAUGCAAAGUGUGGUAGAAGCAUCCCUAGAAGCUG